AAAGUCGUAACAAGGUUUCCGUAGGUGAACCUGCGGAAGGAUCAUUAAAGAAGUGAACCUUCGCAAGAAGGUGAACAACACACCGUGAACGAUUACAUGUGUUUUGAAUGUAUAUAACUAUAACAUAAAAACAACUUUCAACAACGGAUCUCUUGGCUCUC
rnacentral:misc_RNA from 1 species